rnacentral:rRNA from 1 species
CGAUUGUGUGAAUACAUAGCACAUUCGAGGUAGACGCAGAGAACUGAAACAUCUAAGUACCUGCAGGAAGAGAAAGAAAAUUCGAUUCCCUGAGUAGCGGCGAGCGAAACGGGAAAAGCCCAAACCAGCAAGCUUGCUUGUUGGGGUUGUAGGACUCCAAUAUGGUAGUUCUUUCAGAUAGUCGAAUGACUUGGAAAAGUCAGUCAAAGAGGGUAAAAACCCCGUAGACGAAAUGUGGAAGACACCUAGGAGGAUCCUGAGUACGGCGGAACACGAGAAAUUCCGU